rnacentral:rRNA from 1 species
UACAGAGGUCCCGAGCGUUGUUCGGAUUCACUGGGCGUAAAGGGUGCGUAGGUGGUGAGGUAAGUCGGAUGUGAAAUCUCCGGGCUCAACCCGGAAAUGGCAUUUGAAACUACCUUGCUCGAGGGUUGGAGGGGGGACUGGAAUGCUUGGUGUAGCAGUGAAAUGCGUAGAUAUCAAGCGGAACACCUGUGGCGAAAGCGGCUCACUGGACAGUAACUGACGCUGAUGCACGAAAGCUAGGGGAGCAAACAGG